AGAAAUGCCAGAUAUACAAUAACAAUUGAAGAGAGGGAAGGAAUAGUGCAAUAUCAGUAUAGUCUGAGAUUUAAAAUUUAAAUAUAAAUAUAGUGCAAGGCAA